ACAAUAUUCAGCAGUUAGAAAAGAGGGUGUAGAGAAGACAAUGGGGGGUCAAUGGUGAGCUCAGAGAUCUGAGGGCACAGGCCCAGGAGUCAGGGUUAAGAAAUCAUGUCUGUGCCUGGGGAGGUCUUACAGGGCUUCCUUCAGGACCAGGGGUCCUCCAGCUCCUGACAUGGUCUCUCCUGACACUGGGAAAGCUCUGAGUGGCUUUCGCAGCCUUGGUGGGGUUUGCCACUGACUACCUUUGGGCAGAACUAGAUCUAAGCAGGCCCUCCUGCAAUGAUGGAUGACAGAGCAGGGAGAGGGCUGAAAAAGGAGCUUUCUGGAGGUCAAGAAGAAGAUGGAAGGAUCUUGGAGAGGCCUCCUAUGUAAUGGCAAUGCUGUGUAUCAAGCCUACUUUGCUGAUCAGGGGACGAAGGUCCUCAUCAAAGAUCCAGACUGCGGCCCUCCGUCGCCAACCGCGCUUCUCCUGGGCCCCUCCUGCCACCGGCGCAGCGCCACGCUCGUAUGCCUGCUGCGGGGCUUCUCCUACCCGUGGCCGCUGGAGGUGAGCUGGACGCGGGACGACGAGGAGGUGCAAAGCUUCGCAGCUGCCACCGAGCCGCUCCGGGCCCUGCCAGGCAACUGCAACUUCGGCACAGCCAGCCGCCUGAGCGUACCGGCUGAGGAUUGGCUGGCGGGCAGAAGCUACUCGUGCCACGCGCGCCAAGGGGACGCCCAGCAGGAGGUGAAAAGCGCGGGGCUCCGCGCCGCAGGCCAGAAGAAGUCAGGUGGUCCCUCUGAGAUGCUGCUCAGCCUUCGCACAGGGCAAUUCAUCUUCCUUUUCCUCAUUGCCAAGAGCUUUGCCUACGGUGCUGCUUUGGGAAUCUACCUAGCCUGUAGGAAACCAGGUGUAUAAAAGGAUGUAGAGUCUCACCACAGCCUUACUGGCGUUUCCUGUUGCAGCAGAAAUUACUUAUCAAGACAGCCCUAGCAGAGAAGUUUAUUUGUAAUGCAGAUUUACAUCUGGAGAAUUUUGCUAAUGAAGAUCCAUGUACUGUGCUCUGAGUCUUCCAUAUUGCCAUUUAGAGCCCCCUCUCAAUCUUGACUGUGAUUUAAGGACCUAAGUUGAUCACUAAAAAGAAUUUUCAGCUAAAUUCCUUUCUGUGUUGAAUAAUUUUUUCACAUAUGUUCCCUAUUUCCUAAGUAAC